UACGUAGGUGGCAAGCGUUGUCCGGAUUUAUUGAGCGUAAAGGGCGCGCAGGCGGUUCGUUAAGUUCGGGGUGAAAUCUCCCGGCUCAACUGGGAGGGGUCUUCGGAUACUGGCGGACUUGAGGAGUGCAGAGGUGAGUGGAAUUCUCGGUGUAGUGGUGAAAUGCGUAGAUAUCGAGAGGAACACCAGUGGCGAAGGCGGCUCACUGGGCACCACCUGACGCUGAGGCGCGAAAGCGUGGGGAGCGAACCGG
rnacentral:rRNA from 1 species